AGUGAACGCUGGCGGUAUGCCUAACACAUGCAAGUCGAACGGCAGCACGGGAACUUGCUGCUCUUACGGGUGGCGGGUGGGGGAAGGAUUAGAUAGACAUAGGAAUCUACUUGGGGGUGGGCGAGGCCAAAGGGGAAUUAAUACUACUAACGAAUAACGCAUGCACGUGGAAGCAGUGCAGCCUCGGACCUUGCGCGUUGGAAGGAGCCGAUGUCGGAUUAGCUAGUGGUAGGGGUAAAGGCCUACCAAGGCGACGAUCCGUAGCUGGUCUGAGAGGACGACCAGCCACACUGGAACUGAGACACGGUCCAGACUCCUACGGGAGGCAGCAGUGGGGAAUUUUGGACAAUGGGCGAAAGCCUGAUCCAGCAAUGCCGCGUGUGUGAAGAAGGCCUUCGGGUUGUAAAGCACUUUUGUUCGGAAAGAAAACCAGGGCGUUAAUACGGUCGGGGGAUGACGGUACCGAAAGAAUAAGCACCGGCUAACUUCGUG
rnacentral:rRNA from 1 species